UGAACUUGGGACGAAAACAGACGGUACCAAGGUAAUAGCACCGGCUAACUCCGUGCCAGCAGCCGCGGUAAUACGGAGGGUGCAAGCGUUACCCGGAUUUACUGGGCGUAAAGGGCGUGUAGGCGGUCUGCUAAGUCCGGUGUUCAACCCCGCAGCUCAACUGCGGUAGUGCACUGGAUACUGGUAGGCUAGNACGGUCGCAGGGGCUAGUGGAAUUCCCGGAGUAGCGGNUGAAAAUGCGUAGAUUACCGGGAGGAACGCCAAUAGCGAAGGCAGCUAGCUGGGCGAUUUGUGGCCCUGAGGGCGCGAAAGCGUGGGGAGCAAACCGGAUUAGAUACCCGGGUAGUCCACGCUGUAAACGAUGAGUGCUGGGUAUCUGGAUUUUCUGGG
rnacentral:rRNA from 1 species